rnacentral:lncRNA from 10 species
ACUGGCUUUCUCUGCUUCUCCAAGCUCUUGACAGAAAUUGACCACCUGUAUAUUCAGUUCUACUAUGCCCAACAGAAUCUCAGUUUCAGAUUCUCCAGGAGAAAGAAUCCGAUUGAUUCAACUGGGUCAAGUGUUUAUCCCUGGUCCAAUCAACCAUGACUGGUGAUGAGGUCAUUUCAUACAAGACUGCUGGAUGGGAAAACUGAUGCACGGAGAGGUUCAAUGAAUUUUCCAGGUUACACAACCAAGGCCGCUAAAUCAGACACUCUGGCCCUGGAGCCCACAUCCCUAACCACUCUUUUAUAUGCCCUGUGACUGUUCCCACAGUGACCUUGGCAGUGAAUUUAGUGACAGCAGAGAACAACCACAAUGAGGGAACAAAUAAGCAGCAGCUGUCAAUCUAAACAGCACAAGUAUGAAAAUUCUGGAGCCUCCACUAAUGGCAUCUGUUACUUGCUGAGAGACCGAGAAAGAAGGAGAGAGGAGUAAGUUGGGAAAAAGAUAUUUGUUACUUUGAAUGAUGUUAAAUUUAAGAUACUCUGGUAGAUGGUAUUAUUGUUCAAAAUAGUAGGUGCUUCUCCCUGUGGGGGAUUAUACUGCUCAGCCCCACUGAGAGCAGCCUUGAACAUUUGAGUUGAUUUAGAAAAUGAAAUGUGAGUGCAAGUGCUGGGUGCCACUUUGGAGACAAAGCUUUAAGAUGCCCUGAAUUGUUCCUCUAUCAUUUUCUCCCCUCUGCCCUGAGACUGGCAAUGUCCCAGAUAUGGCUUGGUCCUUCAGCCUGGGACCCACAUUAUUCAGGAAUGUGAGCAAGGGAUAAAACUUUGUUUUUGCAAGCCAUGGGGAUAUGGGAUUGUUUGUUACUGUAGCAUAAUUUAGCCUAAGGAGACUGUUGUAGUGUUUCAUAGUGUUUUGUACUGGAAUUGGGAUGUUGGGGUAAUGAAAAACUUACAAUGUAUGGCACUGGCUACAGAGAUGUUGCCGGAAAAUGGGCUAUUGAUCCAGACUCCAAGAGAGAGUUCUUGGAUGUAACACAGGAAGGAAUUCAAGGUGAGUCGCAGAGUGUAAUGA